GGACAUGGCAGCAUGCAUAUGCCCUUAACAGGUUCAAGCCAGAUGGGCUCACAGCACUGAGAUGGAGAACUGAACACAGGGGCCCACCCAGAGCCAAGAAACUAUUUGCAAUUGAUACCCACUGCCAAAGGGAAAAUCAGUUUUCUCUAAAGGAGUGUCAACCACACUCCAGGACAGACUCCAUUCCCAGGAGUUCACACAAAAUGGACUCCAAAGGCAACCCUUGUGAAAGGGUGACAACCCACAAGUUGAGAACAACAGCAUUAGAUGCAAGCAAGCUGUACUUUUGUGUUCGGACUGGACACUGCAACACCUUUGGGUCGAAACCACCGUCCGCCAUCCGCAAGACAUUUUUGGUGGAGCACAAAGGCUGACAUGCUGCUCCAAUAGGAUCUUCAGCCAGUUGGAAGCAUGAUCAACUUGCUCCCUCCUCCAUCCUUAGACAGUUCUUUCUGGAUCCCUUAGAAGGAAACUUAGAAGACUGAGUUGCAUUCACACUGGUGAGGAACUCUGUCUGAGAGUGUUCUUUCGCGGGCUCACAUUCAGUCAAUAUCUACUCAGUCAGAAACACGGUGCUGGAGCCUGAGCUACAGCUCAGUGGGUCAGCUCAUGCUCAGCAGGCUCGAGGCUCUGGCUCCACCCUCAGCGUCUUCACUAUCUCCUAAGGAGCAUCAUCAGAUACACCCAAGUUUGUGAUUGCACUUUAUCCAGCUCCAGUUCCUAUGCCUAAACAUUGGUAAUAUGAGGCGGAAAGUUCUAGAAACACAUAGUUCAUAAGGUUGAUUUUUUUUUAUUUGUUUUUAUGCAUUUGGGUGUUUUGCCUGAGUGUAUGUCUGUGUACAACGUGCAUGUAUGAUGCCUGAGGAGGCCAUAAAACGGUGUCAGAUCCCACAGGUAGUUGGUUGUGGGCAGCAG
rnacentral:lncRNA from 1 species